ACGCUUCAUCUUCUUCUUCAUUUUCUCAAACGCUUCUUUCUUCCAUGACCACGUCUCCUCCUCCCCGUCUUCUCCCUGACCAAUGUCAAGCCCUUCUACCGAUUCUAUGUUUGCCUUAGACUCCGACUCUGAUUUUUCCUCUCACCACCACGAUGGUGGAGAUGACACCGAACUCUCGAUUCCUUCUGAUACCCCAAAUUUAUCGGCACGCUUUCUCCAUCGCUGCUCCACCUCCCCUACAACCAAGACACACUUACUUCUCCACCGGCACGACUGCAGCUUCCAGAUCCAACUGUGUUCCGUUUUAACUAGAUUUUCCGGCGUGAUUUGGAUGAUGCGGGGGCUUCCCUCACGAGCCACAUGGAUUUGGCUGUUACCAAAUUUGCUAAGGACGUCUUCACUUUUUGUUCUGGCGCAUAUGUGUCUUCUUAUAUCAUUUGUUUCUUUUUAAUUAAGAAAAGUAGGGUUUUGCUAAGCUCUAGCUGUUUGGUUGAUUCAUAAAAAUGAUUGGCACGCCCCGUUAUUCAUUGACUUAUUUUUUCUUUUAGUUAAUCGAAUCUUACCUUAUUUUUCCUCUCUUUUGCUUAAUUGAACCGUACCAUAUUCAGUUUUGCUCUCGGUUUUUGUCAGGUUAAUAUUAUUGAUAUUCGACUCAUCACUGAAGUUGAGAGAGCUUUACGCUCAAUUACGUCGACAAGUAAAUGAGGAGAUAUGAAAGUCCCUAGAAUCUACAGAAAAAGAGACCCGCCCUCACACGUAGUUUUAGACACUCCAGCUGGUCAUGAUGCUUCAAGGACUUCAGACGGUGUAUCAAGAGCUUCAGAAGAUACAAUAGGAAAUGCAUGAGUGCAAGAGACAUACGGUUAUAGCGUAAGAAGCAAAACAUCAGGCCGUGGUUUAUGUAACGGUUAAAAUGAAAAGGAGUGUCAUUCCUGAGCUAAAACUGGAACUAGCAUUGGCCGAGAAAGAACAAGUGAAACAAGACUCCCAUCUUGCGAAGCUGAGAGUGGAGGAAAUGAAACAAGGGAUAGCUGAAGAGUCGAGUGUUGCAGCCAAAACACGGCUUGAGGUGACUAAGCUAUUCUAGAAAAUCCUACACCUAUUCAACAUAAAAUAAUCUCUAUGAUUUUCAUGAGGCAAUCAUAUCUCAUUGAUUUUAAAGGGCAACCGCGUCGACACAACUAGCAACUACAAUAGUAAAUUUUCAAAUUAAUCAAAAUAGCUACUUAUAAAUAUUCAUAAUUAAAUUACACAAAUAUCGGUUUGAAGUCAAGAAUAUAAUCUAUCUAUGUUCUCUUAUUUACGGCUAUGUUUUUCAUUUCUACUGCGUUGAUCAAUUGUUUCGUACAAAUAUAAAAUGCCCCAUAUAUAUAGGAAAAGUCAUCUAUCAUUCAGCAUUAUGACAAUUUAUAAAGGAGUUUAUUAUGUUCCAA